UACGAAGGGGACUAGCGUUGUUCGGAUUUACUGGGCGUAAAGCGCGCGUAGGCGGAUCACUAAGUCAGGGGUGAAAUCCUGGAGCUCAACUCCAGAACUGCCUUUGAUACUGAGGAUCUUGAGUACGGGAGAGGUGAGUGGAACUGCGAGUGUAGAGGUGAAAUUCGUAGAUAUUCGCAAGAACACCAGUGGCGAAGGCGGCUCACUGGCCCGUAACUGACGCUGAGGCACGAAAGCGUGGGGAGCAAACAGG
rnacentral:rRNA from 1 species